UGAACGCUAGCGACAGGCCUAACACAUGCAAGUCAGGGGCAGCACAAGGAGCAAUCUGAGGUGGCGACCGGCGCACGGGUGAGUAACACGUAUGCAACCUGCCUGUAAGCGGGGAAUAACCCGUUGAAAGACGGACUAAUACCGCAUAAUACUAAAUUACUGCAUGGUAAUUUAUUUAAACAUUUAUGGCUUACAGAUGGGCAUGCGCAUGAUUAGCUAGUUGGAGAGGUAACGGCUCCCCAAGGCAACGAUCAUUAGGGGUUCUGAGAGGAAGGUCCCCCCACACUGGUACUGAGACACGGACCAGACUCCUACGGGAGGCAGCAGUGAGGAAUAUUGGUCAAUGGACGAGAGUCUGAACCAGCCAAGUCGCGUGCAGGAAGAAUUGUCCUAUGGAUUGUAAACUGCUUUUGCAGGGGAAUAAAGUGCAUCACGUGUGAUGUUUUGUAUGUACUCUGCGAAUAAGGAUCGGCUAACUCCGUGCCAGCCGCCGC
rnacentral:rRNA from 1 species